rnacentral:rRNA from 1 species
UACGGAGGAUGCGAGCGUUAUCCGGAUUUAUUGGGUUUAAAGGGUGCGUAGGCGGACUGUCAAGUCAGCGGUAAAAUUGAGAGGCUCAACCUCUUCCCGCCGUUGAAACUGGUGGUCUUGAGUGGAUGAGAAGUACGCGGAAUGCGUGGUGUAGCGGUGAAAUGCAUAGAUAUCACGCAGAACUCCGAUUGCGAAGGCAGCGUACCGGCAUCCAACUGACGCUGAUGCUCGAAAGUGUGGGUAUCAAACAGG